GGUUUAAGGUUUAAGGUCGCUGAAUUACUUUCUUUAUCAAUCUGUGUCGCAGUUUGUUUUUCUCCAUCUAAAGCCCAGAGCCGUGCAGAGACCAGAGUCUGAAGAACUCAUUAUGUCUGACUUACUGAGGGACUUCAGGUUACAACUCUUGUUUAAGGAGCUCAACCCGACCUUCUCCCACCUGAAGAUAGAUGGCGCUGAAGCAGCAGAUGAUGAUAAUGAGUCAGGAUACUCAUCUGUCAGUCGGUGAGUGAAAUGUGCUUACAUCUUAUUCAGACUGACAGUUUUAAAAAUAUCAAUAUUUUGAUGAGGCUUAACCGUAUCAGUUAAAACUGACAUCGAGUGCUUUCACACGGACUUGAGUAUCCUGUUUAAUUAUUACUAUUAUUUUUUUAC